rnacentral:lncRNA from 1 species
AGACAAUCCCGGCCCUGUGUGCACCAGCGGCUCUCUCCGGGCUGGGGCCCCAGGCGGAGGACAGGAUGGCUGGUGGGGGCCCAGAGGCCUCCCACAAAGGCACUCCUGGAAACCUGUGGGCUGUGCUGCCUAGGGAGAGAGACAGUGUGCCUUUCAUUCCAUCCAGCCUGGGGCGAAGAGCGGGACGUGAGGGCGGAAGUCCCUCCCCGCCCUGGGACGUGCAGGCGAGCCAGGAGCCAGGGACUCCCUUUCACUGGCUGCGCCGGGGGAUAUUGAGGGCAGGGUGAGUCAAGAAGAGGGAAAAAGUGGGAAAAGAGGUCUUGGGCACACGGUGGGAACAGGUCCCCUGCCCCCUCCCACAGGGGAUCCAUUCUUCUGGUAGGAGGGCAGAGGGCCAGGUUUGUGAGUGUGGGAUGGGAGGGUGCUGAACACUUGUAAGGAAGGGGGUGGGGUGGGGUGGCCUUGGCCCAUCAGCAGGUGCAUGGGAGGGGGAUCCCGGGCCUCUUUGCUGGCCCAGCAUAACCUGACACCAGCCCCCUGCCCUUCUAGCUAAAAGCCGGUUGCUAAGUUUAGCCUGCCUGGUGAUAAUCUUUGCUUAAAAAGCACCCACAGGACUCCAGUCCCUGACCCUGCCUUUCUGGGAUUGCCUUUCCUGCUGGGACCCAGAGCCAGGCUGUGUCCUCGUCUGGCUGCCACUGGCAUGGUUGGUGCGGGCUUUUCACAAUGACCACCCAGAGCAGAGUAGCAAGAGCAAGGCAAGAAGGUCCCUAAUGGUGAAAGGGGUGGGGUGGGGGAGUGGAGGAAGCCCCACCUCUGACUCAGCUAUUCCUGCAACCAGGACCGUUAACCCUUUCUCAUUGAGAGCAUUAAGAGCACCUCCAUGCUCCUGCACCACCCAAGCGUGAUCUUCCCCUCUGCCUCAUGCUUGUCAUUUUUCAUUACUGUCUUCUCCCCGCAAAGAGGGAGCUCAGUGCCCAGGGAGCACUACUGACGUAGUGUGCUGUUGUCAUGACAGCAGAGGCACCAGUGUGGUCACGACAGCCAGCUCACAGCCUCCGGUUCGAAGGUGACUCAGCAGAGAAGACUUGAGGAGCUGGAGAGGGGUGCGCAGGCUUCAGGGGGCAGCCCGCCUGCAGCAUAGCUCACGCCCUCUGCAGACCCGGGAACAAUGAGGAAUGCUGGGAGACAGGUCUUGUCUCCUGCAGAGCUGGAGGGGAUCAUGAUCUGAACUUCCACGAGCCUGGGCCGGUCUGCUGCCAACCUUUGGAGAUGGGAUUAGGGAACACGAGUGGGGGUGGGGUGAGGCACACGGCAGAAAGCAACCCUUGGUCUAGAGCAGGUUUUCUCAACUGUGACGCUAUUGACAUUGUGGGCCGUGUGAUUCUUUGUUGAGGGGCCAUCCUGUGCACUGCAGGAUGUUGAGCCACAUCCCUGGCCUCUUCCCACAAAUGCUGGUAGCAUUCUUCCCCUAUAGGCUAUGACAACAAAACAGGCCCCAGGUGUUGUCAGAUGUCCUCUGGCAGACAAAAUUGCCCCCGGUUCAGAAGCACUGAUCUGGAGCCUAGGCACUGCAUAAUUCUCCCCAGAGAGGCUGUCUGGUCACUGUGCAGGGUCCAGAGGUUGAGAGGGGAAAGGUGGCAGUGACGGGGCAGGAAGCUCAUCUGCCAUCCCGGGACAGGCCCUAGGACUCUGGGCUCACUCAUCUCUCUCUGCACUGAUAACCCUCUCUCUGCUGCAUGAAACUGGGCUAAUGUGAAAGAUGAAACAAAGACAAGCUUAGGAAAAAAUGUCUAAAAGUAUAUAAAAACAUUUAUUCAUUAGAAAACAAGGAGAUUGGCAAACAUAUAUUCCAAAGUUGAAGCAGCUCAACGCAGUUCAGUUAGGCUAAUUUAAGAGAAAGCCUUGCAUUUUAAAGAGCGUGUAGGCAUUUUUUUUUUAAUUUGAGAUGGAGGUUCGCUAUUGUUGCCCAAGCUGGAGUGCAAUGGUGUGAUUUCGGCUCACUACAACCUCCGCCUCUGGGUUCAGGCGAUUCUCCUGCCUCAGCCUCUUGAGUAGCUGGGAUUACAGGCGCACGCCAAUACGCCCGGCUAAUUUUUUAUUUUUAGUAGAGAUGGGGUUUCUCCAUGUUG